UACGGCGGGGGCUAGCGUUGUUCGGAAUUACUGGGCGUACAGCGCGCGUAGGCGGACCUGCAAGUCGGGGGUGAAAGCCCGAGGCUCAACCUCGGAACUGCCUUCGAUACUGCGGGUCUCGAGUCCGGGAGAGGUGAGUGGAAUUCCUAGUGUAGAGGUGAAAUUCGUAGAUAUUGGGAAGAACACCGAUGGCGAAGGCAGCCAUCUGGACCGACACUGACGCUGAGGCGCGAAAGCGUGGGGAGCAAACAGG
rnacentral:rRNA from 1 species